CCUACGGGAGGCAGCAGUGGGGAAUAUUGGGCAAUGGAGGCAACUCUGACCCAGCAACGCCGCGUGAAUGAUGAAGGUCUUCGGAUUGUAAAGUUCUUUUCUAAGGGAAGAAGAAAGUGACGUUACCUUAGGAAUAAGCCUCGGCUAAAUACGUGCCAGCAGCCGAGGAAAUACGUAGGAGGCAAGCGUUAUCCGGAUUGACUGGGCGUAAAGGGUGCGUAGGUGGUUUGACAAGUUAGUAGCGCAACUCCGGGGCUCAACUUCGGAACUACUACUAAAACUGUUGGGCGUGAGUGCAGGAGGGGCAAUCGGAAUUCCUAGUGUAGCGGUGGAAUGCGUAGAUAUUAGGAGGAACACCAGUGGCGAAGGCGGAUUGCUAGACGGUAACUGACGCUGAGGCACGAAAGCGUGGGGAGCAAACAGGAUUAGAUACCCGAGUAGUC
rnacentral:rRNA from 1 species